CUGGUGUGGAAACUGGAGAGGUGUUGCAGCAUUAGCUACAACCUGUGUGAGCCUAGGCUUCUGAUGUUGUUGCCAUCAUAGAGUGGAGAAGAGCCAAACUGCACUGUGGCAGCUUCAAUGCUAGAAAGAAAAGCCCCAGAUGAGAGAAAGGAACAAGGGAGAAAGAAGACAAUGGAGGGAAGAAAGGAAGGAGACAAAAAGUGAACGGCAACAGAUUACAUCAGCAAACUGGAAUAACACUGAAAUCUUAAGUUUCUGAGAACCCACAAUAGAUUGCAUCAGUGAAUUCAUCACAGAUGAAUACAUUUACAUGCACU